CUGUAGUAGUACAAUUUUCAAAAAGAAUUAUCCAUCACAUUUAGAAUAAGUUAUGCAUGAGACAACAACACAAUUUCGAAAAGAAUGAUCCAUCACAUUUAGAAUAAGUUAUGCAUUAGACAACAACACGCAUCCAGCCAGAAACACACAUCCAGUCACACCACAGAAGUGGCACCUGGACCAUUUAUAUAAGAUGUAAGAUAAAAAUAUAUAUCAAAGAAAACAGUAAAAUGUAAGGUUAAGUAUUAUGAAAAGCACACAAAAAAAACUCGUGGUGUAUCAACAUCAAAAACUAUUUCAGCACCAAAAUAACAUGACUAUCUUUUUUAAUGCAAUUUGACACAGAAACCACAACUUAUAUGAACACAAUGAACACACUAACCCCACCAUAAUAUUGACAAAGCUGGGAGGUCACUUCUACUAGCUAACUCGAAACACCAAAAACAGCUCUUAUUGAACAUCCUCAUCAAUUCUAAAAUUUAUUGUAAAACAAUCCAAUAUCAAUUGCCCAUUUCUAAAUGAAUAAAGCCCAUCACACAUUCUUAACAUUUGUAAAAGAUACAUUAGGCGCACAUCACUUCAUCUAUAUAAUUAACAAAGUAGUGUUGCAUACAUCCAUCAAUGCUGUGUAUCUGGGAUGCAUAUUGAUGCAUAGUGCAGGCAUAAAGGAAUACCAGAGGGUCACUUGUGAUUUAUAUAGGAACUGCAAAACAUAAGGUAUAUUUGUCUACCUCUCAACUAAGGUUCUCAUGAAAGUCCAGGACCUACCUAAGUUGUUGAGAAAUUUGCAAAAUUUUGUAAGAUAUUGACCUUCAUCAGAACUUGAUUUGUGCUUCAUAGCCCAACACUUGUGAAAAAAUAAAUAAAAUGAUGCUAUUGAAGCAUUUUUUGGCUAAAUUACUGUGGAAGCUAAUAAAAAUAAUAAUUAUUUGCCAAAUAUGUUUGUUUGCUAACUUCUCUUUCCUUCUCAGUGUGUGAAUAUACUAAGUAACAUCUUAAAUUUGUGAAAAUUAAUUGUCCCCACAGUGAGCAGGUCAUAACCACUUUGAACAAUGAAAAAGCAGGUCAUAACCACUUUGAACAAUGAAAAAGCAGGUCAUAACCUCCCUCCCUCACUCCAAGUGAUAACUAUGUUAAAUAAGCAUCGAUAACAAUAACCAAAAGAAUUCUCCCAGCCUCUACCACACCCCUGCAUUCGAAGGAUCUCUUUCCAAUUCAUCAGAUCAUGCCAACACAGCUCAUAGCCUACUUCAUCCCAAACAUAAUGAAUAACAAACAAUUUUUUGGUACAUUGAACUAUAGUUGAAGAAGGAACAUGUGAACAGCAAACCAUAUUAAAACGCAUCUUUCACACCAUUAUGAUGUAAUAGACUACUUGCACAUAGCACUUAAAGUGAAAAACACACAUCAACCUUUUGCCUAGGUAUUAAACUCCAAGUUUACUGCCUACUGUUUGCUAGUGAGGUAGCCUGACAAAUGGUAAAAAAAUGAUAAUCACAAUUCUGUUGCUGUAUUCAGAAACAUUGGUUAGUAUAGGUGUUUCUUGCUCAGUUGUCUUGGAGGUAAGUAAAUAAUUACUAGCUUCAGAGCAAGACUUAAUAAGAGAGUACCAAAAGAACUAAUAAAAGAAUAAGGGUCUCUCAGUAUAAUGGAAACACAAAACAAAAGACUCAAACUCUCUCCUAAAUUCUGCUAACUUCAUGACCUGAAAAUGAAUUGGAGAAAUGAUGUUGGAAGAACCUUAAAAGCAGCCGACCACUAGAAAAGGUUGCUCAUCGUUUCUUAUUCAAUAAGAUUGGCAUAUUUUGCUGAGUAUAAUCUGAAUUAAUUUAGGCAGCCAAUCAUCAAGAAAGAAGAUCACAAAGAAAAGG
rnacentral:lncRNA from 1 species